CCUACGGGAGGCAGCAGUGGGGAAUUUUGGACAAUGGGCGCAAGCCUGAUCCAGCCAUUCCGCGUGAGUGAAGAAGGCCUUCGGGUUGUAAAGCUCUUUCAGCAGGAACGAAACGGGCCUGGAUAAUACCCAGGCUUACUGACGGUACCUGAAGAAGAAGCACCGGCUAACUACGUGCCAGCAGCCGCGGUAAUACGUAGGGUGCGAGCGUUAAUCGGAAUUACUGGGCGUAAAGCGUGCGCAGGCGGUUUGUUAAGACAGGUGUGAAAUCCCCGGGCUUAACCUGGGAAUUGCGCUUGUAACUGGCAGGCUAGAGUGUGUCAGAGGGAGGUAGAAUUCCACGUGUAGCAGUGAAAUGCGUAGAGAUGUGGAGGAAUACCGAUGGCGAAGGCAGCCUCCUGGGAUAACACUGACGCUCAUGCACGAAAGCGUGGGGAGCA
rnacentral:rRNA from 1 species